rnacentral:rRNA from 1 species
UACUCCUACGGGAGGCAGCAGUGGGGAAUAUUGGACAAUAGACCGAGAGUCUGAUCCAGCAAUUCUGUGUGCACGAUGAAGUUUUUCGGAAUGUAAAGUGCUUUCAGUUGGGAAGAAAAAAAUGACGGUACCAACAGAAGAAGUGACGGCUAAAUACGUGCCAGCAGCCGCGGUAAUACGUAUGUCACGAGCGUUAUCCGGAUUUAUUGGGCGUAAAGCGCGUCUAGGUGGUUAUGUAAGUCUGAUGUGAAAAUGCAGGGCUCAACUCUGUAUUGCGUUGGAAACUGUAUAACUAGAGUACUGGAGAGGUAAGCGGAACUACAAGUGUAGAGGUGAAAUUCGUAGAUAUUUGUAGGAAUGCCGAUGGGGAAGCCAGCUUACUGGACAGAUACUGACGCUGAAGCGCGAAAGCGUGGGUAGCAAACAGGAUUAGAUACCCUGGUAGUCCACGCCGUAAACGAUGAUUACUAGGUGUUGGGGGUCGAACCUCAGCGCCCAAGCAAACGCGAUAAGUAAUCCGCCUGGGGAGUACGUACGCAAGUAUGAAACUCAAAUGAAUUGACGGA